rnacentral:ncRNA from 1 species
AUCUUAUCAAGAGCAGGUGGAGGGACAGGCCCGAUGAAACCCGGCAACCGGCGUUUAAUAAACGUACGGUGCUAAUUCUUGCAGGAAGAUUUGUCGAAUUGUUGGCAAAUCCUUCUUGAGAGAUGAGAG